rnacentral:rRNA from 1 species
GAUGAACGCUGGCGGCGUGCCUAAUACAUGCAAGUCGAGCGAACGGACGAGAAGCUUGCUUCUCUGACGUUAGCGGCGGACGGGUGAGUAACACGUGGAUAACCUACCUAUAAGACUGGGAUAACUUCGGGAAACCGGAGCUAAUACCGGAUAAUAUAUUGAACCGCAUGGUUCAAUAGUGAAAGACGGUCUUGCUGUCACUUAUAGAUGGAUCCGCGCUGCAUUAGCUAGUUGGUAAGGUAACGGCUUACCAAGGCAACGAUGCAUAGCCGACCUGAGAGGGUGAUCGGCCACACUGGAACUGAGACACGGUCCAGACUCCUACGGGAGGCAGCAGUAGGGAAUCUUCCGCAAUGGGCGAAAGCCUGACGGAGCAACGCCGCGUGAGUGAUGAAGGUCUUCGGAUCGUAAAACUCUGUUAUUAGGGAAGAACAAAUGUGUAAGUAACUAUGCACAUCUUGACGGUACCUAAUCAGAAAGCCACGGCUAACUACGUG